CCGGCGAGUGGCGACGGUAGAGUAAUAUAUACGGACGUACCUUCUAGUGGGGAGUAACGUAGCGAAGUUACGCUAAUACCGCAUAUCCUGUGAGCAGGAAAGCAGGGGAUCGCAAGACCUUGCGCUGAUUGAGCGGCCGAUAUCAGAUUAGCUAGUUGGCGAGGUAAAGGCUCACCAAGGCGACGAUCUGUAGCGGGUCUGAGAGGAUGAUCCGCCACACUGGAACUGAGACACGGUCCAGACUCCUACGGGAGGCAGCAGUGGGGAAUUUUGGACAAUGGGCGCAAGCCUGAUCCAGCCAUGCCGCGUGAGUGAAGAAGGCCUUCGGGUUGUAAAGCUCUUUCGGCCGGGAAGAAAUCGCACAGGUUAAUACCCUGUGUGGAUGACGGUACCGGAAUAAGAAGCACCGGCUAACUACGUG
rnacentral:rRNA from 1 species